rnacentral:rRNA from 1 species
CAGUCGCCGCGGGAAUACAGAGGGUGCGAGCGUUAAUCGGAUUUACUGGGCGUAAAGCGUGCGUAGGCGGCUUCUUAAGUCGGAUGUGAAAUCCCUGAGCUUAACUUAGGAAUUGCAUUCGAUACUGGGAAGCUAGAGUAUGGGAGAGGAUGGUAGAAUUCCAGGUGUAGCGGUGAAAUGCGUAGAGAUCUGGAGGAAUACCGAUGGCGAAGGCAGCCAUCUGGCCUAAUACUGACGCUGAGGUACGAAAGCAUGGGGAGCAAACAGGAUUAGAUACCCCAGUAGUCCAUGUCUCUUAUAC